rnacentral:rRNA from 1 species
CGUGAUGACGAAGCACUACGGUGCUGAAGCGACAAAUGCCCUGCUUCCAGGAAAAGCCUCUAAGCAUCAGGUAACAUCAAAUCGUACCCCAAACCGACACAGGUGGUCAGGUAGAGAAUACCAAGGCGCUUGAGAGAACUCGGGUGAAGGAACUAGGCAAAAUGGUGCCGUAACUUCGGGAGAAGGCACGCUGAUAUGUAGGUGAAGCGACUUGCUCGUGGAGCUGAAAUCAGUCGAAGAUACCAGCUGGCUGCAACUGUUUAUUAAAAACACAGCACUGUGCAAACACGAAAGUGGACGUAUACGGUGUGACGCCUGCCCGGUGCCGGAAGGUUAAUUGAUGGGGUUAGCGGUAACGCGAAGCUCUUGAUCGAAGCCCCGGUAAACGGCGGCCGUAACUAUAACGGUCCUAAGGUAGCGAAAUUCCUUGUCGGGUAAGUUCCGACCUGCACGAAUGGCGUAAUGAUGGCCAGGCUGUCUCCACCCGAGACUCAGUGAAAUUGAACUCGCUGUGAAGAUGCAGUGUACCCGCGGCAAGACGGAAAGACCCCGUGAACCUUUACUAUAGCUUGACACUGAACAUUGAGCCUUGAUGUGUAGGAUAGGUGGGAGGCUUUGAAGUGUGGACGCCAGUCUGCAUGGAGCCGACCUUGAAAUACCACCCUUUAAUGUUUGAUGUUCUAACGUUGGCCCGUAAUCCGGGUUGCGGACAGUGUCUGGUGGGUAGUUUGACUGGGGCGGUCUCCUCCUAAAGAGUAACGGAGGAGCACGAAGGUUGGCUAAUCCUGGUCGGACAUCAGGAGGUUAGUGCAAUGGCAUAAGCCAGCUUGACUGCGAGCGUGACGGCGCGAGCAGGUGCGAAAGCAGGUCAUAGUGAUCCGGUGGUUCUGAAUGGAAGGGCCAUCGCUCAACGGAUAAAAGGUACUCCGGGGAUAACAGGCUGAUACCGCCCAAGAGUUCAUAUCGACGGCGGUGUUUGGCACCUCGAUGUCGGCUCAUCACAUCCUGGGGCUGAAGUAGGUCCCAAGGGUAUGGCUGUUCGCCAUUUAAAGUGGUACGCGAGCUGGGUUUAGAACGUCGUGAGACAGUUCGGUCCCUAUCUGCCGUGGGCGCUGGAGAACUGAGGGGGGCUGCUCCUAGUACGAGAGGACCGGAGUGGACGCAUCACUGGUGUUCGGGUUGUCAUGCCAAUGGCACUGCCCGGUAGCUAAAUGCGGAAGAGAUAAGUGCUGAAAGCAUCUAAGCACGAAACUUGCCCCGAGAUGAGUUCUCCCUGAGACUUAGAGUCUCCUGAAGGAACGUUGAAGACGACGACGUUGAUAGGCCGGGUGUGUAAGCGCAGCGAUGCGUUGAGCUAACCGGUACUAAUGAACCGUGAGGCUUAACCUUACAACGCCGAAG